CAGCAAUCUUAGUUUCUGUGAUUCUGAUAACUCUUCAUAUGAGUUCUUCAAUGGAAACAGUUGCAGCGUCUCAAACACUCUUUCAGAUUGCUUUCAUUUUAGGGGAAAAAUGAGAUUGAACUCUCAAGAGGAUUUGAUAUUCUCGCCUGGUUUUUUGUGCAUAGAAAAAGAAAGAGGAAGAGAGAGAGGGCAGAAGGAGGAGACAUGACACAAAAGCGGCCACCGUUCAACGUUUUGGUCGGCGAGCAAACAUGCACAAGGACUAGAGGAGUUCACUCAUCAGGUAACGGUAGACAAUCUACUAAAAACGUCUUUUAAGGGCAUAAAUGGUGUCACAAACACAAACUUACAGACAAAACCACCAAAGUAGGGUACUAGGGAGACACCACGCGACGAACAGAAAAGGGAAACAAAUCUGCUUUAUCUAAGCUUCGCCCCUGUUUGUUUGCCAAGACUUUAAGAGAAAAAUGGUAACAGCUUCAGGACACAUUGGUCGCAUUGGUUUUGGUGAUUGUAAUCUAUUAUAUGAUUUAUUAGGUUGAUUAAGAUUUGUUUAUUAUUAAUGUUUUGAGCUAAUUAUAGGUUGGUCCUAAUACUUUGGUCGUCUCCAGUCCUAAACUAUAUGAUAUAUUAUAGGAGUGCACGGAAAAUCCGUUUUGCGUGCUACUGCCAUUCCCAAUGCAUAUUCUCUCCAGUGAGACAGAAAGUUAACGACUGAUGGAUCAAAGUAAUGAGCAGAUAUGGAGGAGGAUAAGCUCCAAGAUAGAACGCCAGAAACUGGUAAUGAAGAUAUAGUAAUUGAUAAACCAGGAGACUAUAAAAGAGAGAUUAGAGAAUAAAAAAUGGUGACCUGUGAGGAUUGGGUGGAGCGCCAUCUGCCGGGCUUUGCUGUCCUUUCCAUUUGUCUAUUUAGAUCCUCGGACAUCUGUCUUGUACCACGUUCCCACAGAGAGAGAGAGAGAGAGUGAGUGGAGGGAUCUGAUCCCAACUCCAAAACAGAGGCAGUGAAAUGUAUUUCAGUGAUAAUCACGAAGAGAGUAACGUGGAAGACCGGAAAGAGUCGGAAUUUUGAUUGAAAUGAGAAGGCGUGAAUUCAAGGCCGCCCGGAUUUCUGUCUUUCUCUCGUCUUGGGCUAAUCUUUGUCGGAAGCUUUGCCCCAA